rnacentral:rRNA from 1 species
GUGGGGAAUUUUGGACAAUGGGCGCAAGCUUGAUCCAGCCAUUCCGCGUGCAGGAUGAAGGCCUUCGGGUUGUAAACUGCUUUUGUACGGAACGAAAAGCCUCUGGUUAAUACCCGGGGGUCAUGACGGUACCGUAAGAAUAAGCACCGGCUAACUACGUGCCAGCAGCCGCGGUAAUACGUAGGGUGCAAGCGUUAAUCGGAAUUACUGGGCGUAAAGCGUGCGCAGGCGGUUUUGUAAGACUGGCGUGAAAUCCCCGGGCUCAACCUGGGAAUUGCGCUUGUGACUGCAAGGCUGGAGUGCGGCAGAGGGUGAUGGAAUUCCGCGUGUAGCAGUGAAAUGCGUAGAUAUGCGGAGGAACACCGAUGGCGAAGGCAAUCCCCUGGGCCUGCACUGACGCUCAUGCACGAAAGCGUGGGGAGCAAACAGGAUUAGAAACCCGAGUAGUCC